AGAAAGUGAAAGUAUAGCGGGCACAAGGGGGAGUUUGACGCGUAUUGGUGAGCGCCAUACACGGAACGGAGCGGCUGACCGUCUCAGGUGCCAAACUUUAUUCAUCACUCGGGACUUUUUUACACGAAGGAAAACGCUGCCCAAUGUUGUGACGGACGUCGUGUGGGCUCGUGCAAAGCCUCAGCAUCUCGAGAACUCUAGUGCAGUCAUUCAACUACUGUACUCGAGCAAAAUGCAGGACGUGGAUGAAGGUCUCUUUAACUGCCCGGAGCUGUCUCUUCCACGUAAGGAGACUUCACUUUUACACAGUGGCUACUGCAGAAAACAUGAACUAUAUAAUGUGUUUUCUUGUUUUUUCCCAGAUGAUUUGUUAGAAUACAUGGACGAUGAGAACCUGGAGAGUAUAGUGGAUCCAGAAAUUCUUGACUAUUUGCUGACUUGUGAGUCUGACUUUGAGAGCAACAGUGAAUUUCCUGCUUUAACAGAAUGUUCAGAUGAGAGAGCCCCAGAGAACAUUACAUGCACCAGGGACUGCCUUAGAAAACGACCAAGAGGUGAAUGUCUAUGUAGUACCAAACUGGAUUAUCAUUGUUGUUUAUAA
rnacentral:lncRNA from 1 species